rnacentral:tRNA from 1 species
GGAGUCGAGCCUGAAUUAAAGGACCACUUUGAUAGAGAGAAUUAUGGGGGUUAAAGUCCCCCCGACUCCU